UACGUAGGGGGCAAGCGUUGUCCGGAUUUAUUGGGCGUAAAGAGCGUGUAGGCGGCCAAGCAGGUCCGCUGUGAAAACUCGAGGCUCAACCUCGAGACGUCGGUGGAAACCGUUUGGCUAGAGUCCGGAAGAGGAAAGUGGAAUUCCUGGUGUAGCGGUGAAAUGCGCAGAUAUCAGGAAGAACACCCGUGGCGAAGGCGGCUUUCUGGGACGGUACUGACGCUGAGACGCGAAAGCGUGGGGAGCGAACAGG
rnacentral:rRNA from 1 species